GGCCAGGGUGUAAAUGGCUUUUAAUGACUGCAGCUGCUGGCUGAAAACUGUCAAUGGAAUUGGCUAAUUCAGAGCCCCCGAAUCUUGCGAGCUCUCUGCAUAUUGCCGCUGAAUCCGGACGAGCUGAACUAGUGAGUUACUGUCGAGGGGAAGAGAUACGAAGCCAUGAUCGCCAGCAGCAGGGAAAGCAAACAAGAGGACUGGGAAAGCAAACCCCUCUCGACUCGGAAAAUCCUUUCCGGAUCCUGCUUUUCUCCUCCGGCUCAGCCGCCCCCGUGGAAGAAAGGGCAGACAGGGAGCGGAGCGGCACGGCCCCCCGGGACGAGCAGUAACACCGGGCUCCAAACAGGAAGGCGAGAUACUUGCUAACAAACUUCGAUCCUGCUCUUUUCCUGACCAGAACCGGUUCGUUUUUAUUCCUUUCGUGGCUUGCACCCCCGAGCCUUGCCAGCUGCAGUGGCGGAGGCUGGUGUUUCUCCCACUCUCACAGGAGACAAAAUAAAUCGGAGUCAGUUUCACGGUCCCUGAGAUUCAUCUACUCCAGAUUUACACCGGUGUAGCCUCAUUGACUUCAGCGAUAUCGCAGUAUUACUGCCAGUCGACUCGGGCCAAUAGCUCUGGGACUAGUUCCGUUGAGCAUUAUAUGACUCUAUUUUCUGUCACGGUAGCUCAACGCCACAUCAUGGGAGCAUAUUUCCUCAUCAGCUAGAUAAUUCACCAAUAGUGGAGACUGUGAAAACAUCUUUCCGCGGUAGCACAUUUAUACAUCGAGAGAAACCAUGUUUCCCCUUCCCUCUCUGAAGUUUGCAAAGUCACUACAGGAUGCAGUUAGCAUGUUUAACUAUGCGUCCCCAUAAACGCCCAAGUGAUAAAAAAGCCACAUUUUGUUUUUCAGCCUUGAGAGUGCAGCUUUUGUAGACCAAUGCACUCCAUAAAGUAGAUGUAUUUGUGUUAUUACUAACAUUUUUUCCUUGUGCAUAAUCCCUUAUGCCUUUUAUUAUAAUCCUACAUAUUACAGUUAAUCUGUAAUGAUACUGCUU